AUUGAACGCUGGCGGCAGGCCUAACACAUGCAAGUCGAACGGUAACAGGAAGCAGCUUGCUGCUUCGCUGACGAGUGGCGGACGGGUGAGUAAUGUCUGGGAAGCUGCCUGAUGGAGGGGGAUAACUACUGGAAACGGUAGCUACUACCGCAUAAUGUCGCAAGACCAAAGAGGGGGACCUUCGGGCCUCUUGCCAUCGGAUGUGCCCAGAUGGGAUUAGCUUGUUGGUGGGGUAACGGCUCACCAAGGCGACGAUCCCUAGCUGGUCUGAGAGGAUGACCAGCCACACCGGAACUGAGACACGGUCCAGACUCCUACGGGAGGCAGCAGUGGGGAAUAUUGCACAAUGGGCGCAAGCCUGAUGCAGCCAUGCCGCGUGUAUGAAGAAGGCCUUCGGGUUGUAAAGUACUUUCAGCGGGGAGGAAGGGAGUAAAGUUAAUACCUUUGCUGAUUGACGUUACCCGCAGAAGAAGCACCGGCUAACUCCGUG
rnacentral:rRNA from 1 species